rnacentral:rRNA from 1 species
GACGGAGGAUGCAAGUGUUAUCCGGAAUCACUGGGCGUAAAGCGUCUGUAGGUGGUCAAAUAAGUCAACUGUUAAAUCUUGAGGCUCAACCUCAAAAUCGCAGUCGAAACUAUCAGACUAGAGUAUAGUAGGGGUAAAGGGAAUUUCCAGUGGAGCGGUGAAAUGCGUAGAGAUUGGAAAGAACACCGAUGGCGAAGGCACUUUACUGGGCUAUUACUAACACUCAGAGACGAAAGCUAGGGUAGCAAAUGGG